GAUGAACGCUGGCGGCGUGCCUAAUACAUGCAAGUCGAACGAAACUUCUUUAUCACCGAGUGCUUGCACUCACCGAUAAAGAGUUGAGUGGCGAACGGGUGAGUAACACGUGGGCAACCUGCCCAAAAGAGGGGGAUAACACUUGGAAACAGGUGCUAAUACCGCAUAACCAUAGUUACCGCAUGGUAACUAUGUAAAAGGUGGCUAUACUACCGCUUUUGGAUGGGCCCGCGGCGCAUUAGCUAGUUGGUAGGGUAAAGGCUUACCAAGGCAAUGAUGCGUAGCCGAAUUGAGAGGUUGAUCGGCCACAUUGGGACUGAGACACGGCCCAAACUCCUACGGGAGGCAGCAGUAGGGAAUCUUCCACAAUGGGCGAAAGCCUGAUGGAGCAACGCCGCGUGGGUGAAGAAGGUCUUCGGAUCGUAAAACCCUGUUGUUAGAGAAGGAAGUGCGUGAGAGUAACUGUUCACGUUUCGACGGUAUCUAACCAGAAAGCCACUGCUAACUACGUG
rnacentral:rRNA from 1 species